AACGGCCACGGGACAUGAGGCUUGGAAGGUAGAUGCUCCUCUCACCGCGAAGCAGUCGAAAUUCUUGGUCCGAUGCAUUCAAGGUUUAAAACGGGUUCAUGAUUCUCGAUUUUUCCGUGAACCGGUGGACCCUGUGAAGUUGAACAUCCCAAAUUAUCCACUUAUCGUCAAACAGCCUAUGGAUUUGCGAACUAUUGAAGAGAAAUUGAAAGCAGGAUCAUAUACCUCCCUUUUUGCAGUCACAUCCGAUUUCGACUUGAUGGUCGACAACUCCGUCACCUUCAAUGGACCGGAGCAUGUAGUUAGUAUGGAAGGCGCGAAUCUCAAGCAAAGCUUUGAGCGCCAUUUGGCCAAACUUCCUGGUCCAGAUGAGGUGGAAACAAGCCCCGCUCAAAAGAAGGCCCAGAAAGUGGCGGCUGUGCCCACCAAAACCCAACCUGCUCGACGUGACUCAAGAGCCUCUGGG
rnacentral:sRNA from 2 species